GCAGGCUUAACACAUGCAAGUCGAGCGGGCAUAGCAAUAUGUCAGCGGCAGACGGGUGAGUAACGCGUGGGAACGUACCUUUUGGUUCGGAACAACUGAGGGAAACUUCAGCUAAUACCGGAUAAGCCCUUACGGGGAAAGAUUUAUCGCCGAAAGAUCGGCCCGCGUCUGAUUAGCUAGUUGGUGAGGUAAUGGCUCACCAAGGCGACGAUCAGUAGCUGGUCUGAGAGGAUGAUCAGCCACAUUGGGACUGAGACACGGCCCAAAC
rnacentral:rRNA from 8 species